rnacentral:rRNA from 1 species
UAUGACGGGUAUCCGGCCUGAGAGGGUGAACGGACACUCUGGAACUGAGACACGGUCCAGACUCCUACGGGAGGCAGCAGUAGGGAAUAUUGCUCAAUGGGGGAAACCCUGAAGCAAGCAACGCCGCGUGGAGGAUGAAGGUUUUAGGAUUGUAAACUCCUUUUGUUAGAGAAGAUAAUGACGGUAUCUAACGAAUAAGCACCGGCUAACUCCGUGCCAGCAGCCGCGGUAAUACGGAGGGUGCAAGCGUUACUCGGAAUCACUGGGCGUAAAGAGCGCGUAGGCGGGAUAGUCAGUCAGGUGUGAAAUCCUAUGGCUUAACCAUAGAACUGCAUUUGAAACUACUAUUCUAGAGUGUGGGAGAGGUAGGUGGAAUUCUUGGUGUAGG